ensembl:rRNA 5S_rRNA 5S ribosomal RNA
GUCUACGGCCAUACCACCCUGAACGCGCCCGAUCUCGUCUGAUCUCGGAAGCUAAGCAGGGUCGGGCCUGGUUAGUACUUGGAUGGGAGAAACUCCAAGGAAAAAAUAAAGAGGGAGAGA